rnacentral:rRNA from 1 species
UACGUAGGGUGCGAGCGUUGUCCGGAAUUAUUGGGCGUAAAGAGCUCGUGGGCGGUCUGUCGCGUCGGUCGUGAAAACCUGCAGCUUAACUGUGGGCUUGCGGUCGAUACGGGCAUGACUGGAGUUCGGCAGGGGAGACUGGAAUUCCUGGUGUAGCGGUGAAAUGCGCAGAUAUCAGGAGGAACACCGGUGGCGAAGGCGGGUCUCUGGGCCGAUACUGACGCUGAGGAGCGAAAGCGUGGGGAGCGAACAGG